GGUAGCAUGGCCGAGCGGUCUAAGGCGCUGGUUUAAGGCACCAGUCAUUUGGAUGGCGUGGGUUCGAAUCCCCACUGCUGCCA
rnacentral:tRNA from 1 species